GCUCUACCAUUCUAUGUGAUUUCUACCAACUCAGGUGUUUUCUUAAGCAAAACAGUUGCUACAGACAAUUUUAACCUUGAAAGGGAGCUUGUCCUGGGACACUUACCUCAUCCUCAGCAUUUACUUCAAAACUCAAAAUCUGGAUGAAAAAAAAAAUGGACUAUUAUACCUAAGUGAGGUACAAAAUGUGAGGUCUCAAGAUUUUUAAGGGAAAUGGAUUGCAACCAUCAACAAUAAAAACAACCACAAAAGGCUGACGAUCAAAGGAAAACACCCUCAGAUGAACAGAAUGGCCUGAAGAACGUGAAGGAAAGGAACGAUUUCCAGCAAAAGGCAUGUGGGACCUUAGCUCCCCAACCAGAGAUCGAACCCACACCCCCUGCACUGGAAGAAGUCUUAACCACUGGAUCACCAGGAAAGUCCCUAGGUGCCAUCUUAAUGCAACAAAAAGUGUCAUGGGGAGAAAACAGAGAGAGGGGUUG
ensembl:lncRNA